AAAACGACUCUCGGCAACGGAUAUCUAGGCUCUCGCAUCGAUGAAGAACGUAGCGAAAUGCAAUACUUGGUGUGAAUUGCAGAAUCCCGCGAAUCAUCGAGUUUUUGAACGCAAGUUGCGCCCGAAGCCAUUCGGCCGAGGGCACGUCUGCCUGGGUGUCACGC
rnacentral:rRNA from 2 species